rnacentral:lncRNA from 1 species
AAAAAAAAAAAAAUAAUCAAUCAAAAUCAAACAAUCAUACCAAAAGCAAAGUAAGAGCAUCCGAGAAGGAUCCCAGACUUACACCCGCAUUGCAUUGUGUAGACAAGGAUACAUUGGGUGAAGUUGGAGAGUUUGGGCAUCAUACGGAAUCAAGAACUAACCCCAUAGGUUAUCACAACCCUUUUUCUUUUUUUUUUCUUUUUUUGAUAGGGAAAACAACAAAACGUAUUAAAACUGCCUCAAAAAAGGUGCAUCAAAAGUCACAUGAAGUAUACAAUAAGUGCCAACAAGCAAGCAAAUAAGAAGAGAGAAAACAAAAAACAACCAUCCUCUCCUUACUUGAAACUCAACCAAUCUAUAAAGCCUAUCAUGGUUAUAGAAUGAUCAUCUAUGUACACUCUAGCCCACUCCAAAAAGAUGUUGUAGGUUUGAUAGAGACAAGGGACAGCCACCUUUAAAAGUUUAUUUUUUUUUUUGAUAGAUAAACACACAGAAAUAUAUUAAAAAGGGGCAUAAAGGCGACCCAGAGUAUACAGGGAGUAUACAAGCAUCACCUACAAAAAGAACCAGAAACAAAAAGGACAAACCCUUACCAGCCCUCAACAAGCCACCUUUAAAAGUUUAUCAAAGGUGCAAAGGAGUGAGCUCCAAGGCCUAAACUUUAAUUUGGCACUCUCUGAAUGAUGAUGGGCUUAAUUCG